GAUUCGUUUCCUCUGCGCCACUCCGGGAACUCCUCUCUUGACUUUUGACAAAUGCAUAUACACCUGUAUAACCAACCCCAUCAAGAUAUAGAACAUUUCUGUCAAACCCAGAACAUUGCCUUGUGUUCUUUCCUAAUCAAUCUCCACCUCCACCCCCUGAGAUAACCAAUGUCCUGAUUUUUUUUUCCACCUUGGUUUUCCUGUUUCUGGAAUUUCAUAUAAAUGGGGUCAUACAAUUUUUACUCUUUUGUGCAAGACUGCUAGAAAUUCCGUGUCCUAUUUCUGAGAUUCACUUAGUGUUGUAUGUAUCAGCAAUUUGUUCUUUAUUGGGAGGGGUAUUCCCUUAGUUAACGUUUGUCUGUUCUAUCGACAGACAGGCACUGGGACUGUUUCCAGUUUCUGGCUGUUAUGAAUAAAACUGCUCAGAACACGCAUGUGCAAAUCUUUUUGUGGAUUUAUGUUUUUCUCUCAGGUGAACACCUAGGAGUGGAAUUGUGUGACAAUGUAGGGAAAGACAUGUUUAUUUUUAUAAGAAACUGUCAGACCUUUUUUCCAAAGUGAUUGUACCCAUUUGUAUUCCCACGAAUAAUUUUGUGUGUUCCAGUUUGUUCAACAUCCUCACUAGCCUCUGGUGGUGUCAAGCUUUGUCAUUUUAGCCAUGCUGGUUGGUGAGUAAUUGUAUCUUGUAAUUUGAAUUUGUAUUUCCCUGAUGGCUAGUAAUGUUAUAUACUUUUUUAUACCCUUACACUAUUUAUAUGUGUCUCCUUUGUGAAGUAUUAGGACAAAUCUUUUUCCAAAAAUUAAAAAGAAUUACUGGAGUAGAGUUGACAUACACAGUUUUGUUAGUUUCAGGUGUACAGCAAAGUGAAUCAUUUAUAUGUAUACAUAUAUACAUUCCUUCUUUUCCCAUAUAGGUGUUUACAUAGUAUUGAAUAGUUUACCCUAUGCUAUAUAGUAGGUCCUUGUUACCUAUUUUUUGGUUUCCUUUUUUAAAUUGCUUUAAAAGACAUUUAAUUCAUUUUUUUUUUCUUUUUAUGGCCACGCCUGUGGCAUUUGAAGUUCCCGGGCUAGGGGUCAAAUUGGAGCAGCAGCUGCUGGCCUACCUCACAGCCAUGGCCAACACCAGAUCUGAGCCAUAUCUGCAAACUACACUGCAGGUUGUGGCAAUGUUGUUGGAUCUUUAACCCACUGAGUGAGGCCAGGGAUUGAACCCCAUCCUCACAGACACUUUGUUGGGUUUUUAACCCACUGAGCCACAACAGGAAUGCCUAAAAACCAUUUUAAAAUAGAUUUUUUUUUUGAGCGGUUUUAAGUUUAUAGGAAAGUUAAGUAAGAAGGACAGUUCCUCCUCCCCCAUUUCUCCCUUGUAGUAUUGUGGUACACUUACUGUAGUCAACUGAUAAGCCAGUAUUGACAUAGUAACUGAAGUCAUAGCUUACAUUAAGGUUCAUUCUUUUUUUUUUUUUUUUUUUUUUUUCCUUUUUAGGGCCACACCUGCAGCCUAAGGAAGUUCCCAGGCUAGGAGUUGAAUCAGAGCUGCAGCUGCCAGCCUAUACCACAGCAACAGCAACGCCAGAGUGGAGCCACAUCUGCAAUCUACACCGCAGCUCAUGGCAACGCCAGCUCCCUAACCCAAUGAGUGAGGCCAGAGAUUGAACCCAUGUCCUCAUGGAUACUAGUUGGGUUCGUUACCACUGAGCCACAACGGGCAUUCCCGUAUAUCUUUUUUUUAAAGACAAAAUGCUAUCACACAUUUGAUGAACUACAGUUUUAUAAACAUAACUUUUAUAUGCCCUGGGAAAUCAAAAAAUUCAUGUCCUGCUUUACUCUUGUGGUCUGGAACAAAACUGGCAAAAUCUCCAAGGAAUGCGCGUGUUUGGAAAAGUCAACUUCUGCCUUUACAGGACAACUGUGAGAACCAAAAGCAUCAAGGUCUCCAGUGGUCAAUGAGAGGAGUUGAUUGUUACCAUCACUUAAAAAGGAAUGGGUAACAUGCCUCCCCUGCUGCUCCCUGGUACUCAACACAUGGAGUCGUGAUAAGGCAUGACUGGCCAUGUGUUUUGGGGAAAGUUCACCUCUGGACCCUAGUUUCCUCAUCCAGCACUUUUUUUUUUCUUUUUUCUUUUUUUUUGUCUUUUCUAGGGCCAUACCCAUGGCAUAUGGAGGUUCCCAGGCUAGGGGUCUAAUCAGAGUUGUAGCCGCCAGCCUUUGCGACAGCCACAGCACCUCGGGAUCUGAGCCUCAUCUGUGACCUACACCACAGCUCAUGGCAAUGCCGGAUCCUUAACCCAUUGAGUGAGGCCAGGGAUCGAAGCCGCCACCUCAUGGUUCCUAGUUGGAUUCGUUAACCACUGAGCCACAAUGGGAACUCCUAAUUUUUUUUUUUUUUUCUAUACUCAGUACCUUGACUACAGCCCCAUGGAAAGAUGCCCCUAAACCAGGAGCACCUAGCUAAGCUACACCAGAUUUAUGAGCACAGAAAACGGUAAGAUAAUACAUGUUUGCCAUUAAGUAGGUGGUAAUGGCUUGAUUAAAACUUCAUAAUUUCUUAAUUAUUUCCUGCCCAUCAGUUUAUUGGCUAAUUUGCAUUUACAUACCUUUCUUCUCUUCAGUAACCAUCUCUCAAGGGAUUAAAGCCUUAGGAUCGAUAUUUUGGGAUUAAUCAAGCCCUCAACAGAAAUCAAACUUCGACAAAUCCAAGUCGUUCCUGGAGAAUAUUGCUGUUAGGAUGUUUAAGUAAAAUAAUCACUUUGAAUUCCAUCUAUUUUCACUGCUUUUGCAUUUUCCAAGAUGUUAAAAAACUUUGAGAAAUCUAACUUGAUUUCUCUCAGGAGUUUUAUUAGGAAGUAUGCCUGCAUGUGCUGUGUAUUUACGAUUCUCCUCCUAAAAACAAAACUAAAUUUUCAUAGCCACGACACAUCAAUCUCUUGUACUGUUAAUCCUCUCCCACAGUUUACUCUGUAGACAGAUCCUAGGCCCCUUGAGUGGAACGGCCUAUACCUUGGGAAGGAGAGACCUGUUGAAGCAUCCUGUGCCCCAGGGUGGAAGAGCUGGACACAGCAAAAGUGAAGUUGCCUUUUUCCCGCCUCUAAUGACAACUGCUUCCCACUGAUUCUGUCCGUUCUAAAGAGAGAAGUGCCAAUCAACUCGCCAUAAAAC
rnacentral:lncRNA from 1 species